AUUUGGAGAUGGCUAAAAAUGUGCACCAGUGUGUCAUAGCAUUCUGGUAGAAAACAACUCGUGUACACAGUCAUAGAAUUAGGAGAAUUUAGAGUUAUCAUUGCAUUCCUCCCAAGUUUCCCUAUUUAGGACAGACAGUCCCUAUUUUAGGCCCAAAUACUCCCAGUAAUGUGUCUGAGUGUAUAACAGAGCUCCACAGCAAUAACACUCCCAGUAAUGUGUCUGAGUGUAUAACAGAGCUCCACAGCAAUAAU